CCGGGAUAAAAAACAAGGAAACAUUUUUAUUUCGAGGGAAGGACGCAGGACUGAAGAAACUUAAAAGUGUCCCUGAUGUGUUUCAUCAUCCGUUCUGUCACUCACAAAUGGACUCAAAAUACAGACCCAGAUCAAGUGUGGUGUUCAACCAAAAUGUUAACUGGCGAAUGGAAGGUGGCGUGGUUUUCUAGAAACUGCAGAUUUGUACAGACCAAUCCCCAGACAGAAGAAAUACAAGAUCAAGACUGGUGGGCAGCAAACAAAUUUUGCUGGGAUUUAUUUGCCCCGAUUCAUCGUCCAAGUUCUUCAUACCUUCAGGGCCAACUUCUUAGCAGCAAGAACCUCCGCUUCGAGGGUUGGCUCCCAAAGAAUUGUGGUUUCAGCCAAUAGCGCUGUCACGACGUACGGGUCCAUGUUUGAUGCCGGGCGACGGUCUUCCAAGUAGCCUUUUCCCUUCGCCUCGGUGUCUCGCCCCACCCGAAUAGAGCAUCCACGGUUUGCCACACCCCAUGAGAAAUUGUCAAUGCUAGCUGUCUCGUGUAAACCUGUCAACCUCCUUUCAUUUCCUUCACCAUAUGCACUUAUAUGCAAGUCAUGGCGAAGUGAUAGGUUUAGGAUUGCCUUCUUGAUCACCUCAAAUCCUCCAUCUUCACGCAUACUCUUGGUGCUGUAGUUUGUGUGGCACCCAGCUCCAUUCCAGUCUCCCUGAAUUGGUUUGGGGUCAAGGGUAAGCACUACACCAGCCUGCUCCGUUAUUCUCUCAAGAAUAUAUCUUGAAAUCCAUAUGUGGUCUCCAGCUUCAAUACCGACACUAGG
rnacentral:misc_RNA from 1 species